rnacentral:lncRNA from 1 species
AGUGGGGAAGAUUCUUUGAUUGGAGGUCCUUCCCUUGUGGAGUUUUCCUCUUCUUUCCUCUUUCUGGAUCACCUUUUCAUUGCAGUAGUUACUUUGUCAAUGCGUCUUCUGUACUGCCAUUCUACUGUGUCAAUCUUUCUGAUUGUUACAGAUUUCAAUUUAUGAGUAGUUCAAUAAAAACAUCAAGUCCAUUUGCAGAGGAACGAAGAGAUUUGACCUAAUCUUUGGUUCCACUGAGGUAUUAAAUCUCUCAGGAGUAACAAGGGAUUGAUGAAUGAAGUGGACAGAAUUAUUUGCAGAGAUGUAUGCGUCUUACUUCUCUGUGACUCCUGAAUUCAAACAGCAGGCUGGUUUUACUGAAGAAUCAUGAUAAUGUACAGUCUUGUGAGCACUGUCAGGAAAAGGAGCCAUGAAAUACUGUUUAAUCUCCAGAAGAGUCCCAGGAAUGAUUUUCAAGACCCAUUUCCUUCUGCUUCGCUACUAGGCUACUGCCGGUGACGUUUUAUGACUGCACUUGAGUGGCUCUUGCAUCUGAGCACAACAGACAAAGAAAUAAGCUGAUGCCUUAAGAAUUGCAAAGUGAAAAUGGUGAAAAUAGUGGAGAGGAAGUGAUUUCAGGGUGAAGAGAAUAUGUUUAUUUUUGAGGGGAUAAGAACAGUCUUCUGGGAAUUCACAUAGGCUCGUUCUAGUCUGAUACCAUUCUCCAGGGCAGUAUUGUGUUUUGAAUGGAAAUUGGGCUGUAUGAGAUCCCCUGCUUCUCCUCUUGUCUACUCAAAGCUAGUGAGCAUGGAGAAAUUGUGAGCUGUGAGAGACAGAACAUAAGGAAAAUGUUGGCUUUGAAGCCCAGUUGUCCACGGGAGUUUGUGCACCUAUGCUACUGUGAAUAAUCAGCAGAUGAUGCUUUUUUCUCUGUUUUCAUGCUUCUUCUCAGAUACCACUGACCUGAACUAAUGCAACCAGAUACUUCCAGACUUAAAUCUAGAUCCCUCAGGGUGGUAAUUCAAAGUUGAACAUGUUGAUGUAAAUUAAGGAAGACUUAAUUCACAAGCCGUGUAUCUGUAUGAAGGCUCAUAUAUAUCUAACCCAGGGAUUUUUUUCAUCUCUUGGUUAGAGGAGUGGGUCUGGUAACUAGAAUUCUAAUCUUUCUAAUACUGUCUCAGCAUAAUGUGUGUGUUGCCUUUGUGCUUGAUUGGCUCAACUAUCACACGAAUCCAUACUAAUAAUAAUUUACAUUUUCAGAGGUCCUUUUAUUUAUUUACAACUUGUUUAGUUCUAUUCAAUUCUUAAAGGUUCCCCAUGCUUGUGUUUGUGUUUGUCUGUGUGCGUGCUACCCAGUCUUGCCCGGCUAAAAUGUACUCUAACUGUGUGAGGCUGCAACUACAUUUCAUGAAAUGAGGGAGGACUACAUAUUAGAGGACAUUAUGAUGAAUGAAAUAUAUAUUUUCCUCAUGGAUUUUGUCUUCUCGCUAUAAAAGAGUAAAAAGUAUUUGCCCAGGCUCUCCCUUUGGGAAAUAACUGAAUGAAAAGUCAUAACCUCUCUUAAUCCAUAUGACACCUUAAAGAAACAAGCAGGGAACAGUUCGGUCUAUCAGAAACAAUUAAGGGUUUCAAAGCUUCCCUAAAAUCUCAGUGAAGAAAACCUAGUAUGCAGUUACCUUUUCAAAACUCAGUCCUACAUGCUAGCCUGUUGAAAGUUUGGGCUAUGCCACAAGUAAUGUGGAAAAACAUAG